rnacentral:lncRNA from 1 species
UUUCUUUUUUUUGCCAGUUUUCCCUCUCUGUAGCUAUGAGACUACAAACUUCCUUCUAUUACUUUAAAUGAGAGCUGAACUUGUCACGUAAUUACUUGCCUCCUGGAGCUGAGGCUUCAAGACAAAGUCAAGGCACUUCUGAAAGAAAACAGGUGAAGAAUGACGAUAUUCUCAUAUCCAAAAGACUGAACUCCCCAUGGCAUGUUUCGAACAAAGCUGAUGCAGAGAUCAGCACUGCCUUGGGGUGAGCUAGGAGCAUCCCAUUUCCCCCGGAGAGACAGCAGGUCCUGCCGGCUGCACAACAGCCUGAUUUCCAGUGCCAGGGAACCCACCCAAAGCUGGAUUGUUCAGCAAGUCAGUGGAAGAAUGCACGUGCCUCAGAAAUUGGAGAGAGUGGUCUGAAUCUGUAAGUAGGAGCUGAAUCCAGGUUCCCUGGUGGGUACUCUAGCUGCUAGCAUCUUAAAAGAAACAUGAACGACUCCGUCCCCCUUCGGUUUUGCUAUUCAGCUGGACACCUACCCAGAUGAACUGCAUGCUGUGGAUGAGGAUUGUGCAGAGAAUCCUAAAUGCUAGAGAGAUGAGCAUCGGACCUACGUUUAGGGUUUUCCAGUAGCUAGCUCCCUGUAUAUAUUGUGAGCUUCCAGGAUCACCAUCUAGUGGCAUUACGCAAUUUUUUAUGACUCUAGACUGUCUCUGCACUGCAUUUAAUGCCUCAGAUUGGGGCAGGUACCUAGCUGCAUGUUGGGAGUGACUACACAGCCAGCCUUGCUACACCCUUCAUUUGCCCUGCACAGUCUUAGUAACAGCCUGGUUUUAUGAACUCUCUCUUCCUGCAUUUAAUCCUACACAAGUAAAUCUUUCAGCUUUGUAUUUCAAAUGGCUUGGCAAGUCCACCUUCUUCUGGAAAGAUGGUAAAAAGGUUUAUUUUUUUAAUCCCUAUUUCAUGGAGCCAAGGCAAUCUGUGAGCGUGUAGACUCAUGUCCCCCAAUCAGCACAAGAAAAAUGCAUUUCCUACUGAUGUAAACCUUUGCUUGAUUUCACAAGCCCAUACAUGCAAGCAGUGAUUAAUUCUCUUUGUCAAGGUUGCAGUUUUCACAGGUUAUUACAGUUCUAGCAUGGCCAGCACAGAAUUAACUUCCAUAGCCUCUGGCCUUAAUUCAAACAUAAAAGGGAUUAAUAUGUAGGAAAAUUCUACCAGAUAMAUCACUCCAUUUAACUUUCCCAGCUACUGCCACAUCUGUAAGAAGUAAUUAAUAAUAAACCUGACCAGAGUUGAUGAGACCA